rnacentral:rRNA from 1 species
AUGAACGCUGGCGGCGUGCCUAAUACAUGCAAGUCGAGCGAACAGACGAGGAGCUUGCUCCUCUGACGUUAGCGGCGGACGGGUGAGUAACACGUGGAUAACCUACCUAUAAGACUGGGAUAACUUCGGGAAACCGGAGCUAAUACCGGAUAAUAUAUUGAACCGCAUGGUUCAAUAGUGAAAGACGGUUUUGCUGUCACUUAUAGAUGGAUCCGCGCCGCAUUAGCUAGUUGGUAAGGUAACGGCUUACCAAGGCAACGAUGCGUAGCCGACCUGAGAGGGUGAUCGGCCACACUGGAACUGAGACACGGUCCAGACUCCUACGGGAGGCAGCAGUAGGGAAUCUUCCGCAAGGGGCGAAAGCCUGACGGAGCAACGCCGCGUGAGUGAUGAAGGUCUUCGGAUCGUAAAACUCUGUUAUUAGGGAAGAACAAAUGUGUAAGUAACUAUGCACGUCUUGACGGUACCUAAGCAGAAAGCCACGGCUAACUACG